UCCUACCGGAGGCAGCCGGUGGGAAUAUUGCACAAUGCCCGAAAGGGUGAUGCAGGCACGCCAUGUGAGUGAAGAAGGCCUUCGGGUUGUAAAACUCUUUCUUUGGAAGAAUAGCCUCACAGUCAUUCGGACAGCAGAGACGUACCCCAAGAAGAGCCCGGUCCG
rnacentral:rRNA from 1 species